UACGGAGGUGGCAAGCGUUGUUCGGAAUUACUGGGCGUAAAGGGCGCGUAGGCGCCUUCUAAGUCGAACGUGAAAUCCCCGGGCUCAACCCGGGAACUGCGUCCGAUACUGGAAGGCUUGAAUCCGGGAGAGGGAUGCGGAAUUCCAGGUGUAGCGGUGAAAUGCGUAGAUAUCUGGAGGAACACCGGUGGCGAAGGCGGCAUCCUGGACCGGUAUUGACGCUGAGGCGCGAAAGCCAGGGGAGCAAACGGG
rnacentral:rRNA from 1 species